GGGGAAUUUGCCCUGACAGACACAGAGCCUGGGGCUGGAGAUUUUCUGAGAUGCCUCAGGCUCCUUCCCACAAAUUUCGCAUCAGCUUGAGCUCAGUGGGAGUAGAAUCUGCCACCGACAAACUCCUAAGAUGGCUUUGUUCAUUCCCACCUUCAUCAUAAAUCAGGUUGGGGUGGAGAAGCAAUAUCCCUAAGGGAAAAAUAAAAGUCUCCAAGCUAGGACUUUCAGCCUGGGGCCUGACAUUGCACAGAAAAUGGCCACUGCAGUCUCACAGGAACGCAGCCAGUCAAUGGUUUUCCUGAAACAAACUCUCAUCAUCUGAGAGAACCUGCAUGCACCUCUGCUCCCUGCACCCCAGAGGGAACCAGCAGUGUGCCCUGGGAAAAGCUGGGGCCCCACAGGUCCCAGUCUCUGAACAGGGUCUCGUAUAAAGAAGCACCGUCCAGCAACUAUUGCAGCAUUCACUGGCAUCUCGAAGACAGUAUCAACGAGUAUCUACAUCACAACCCGUAACCUCGCUCCUCAAGUUCCCUGUCCUCCCCUCCCAACCCCUGUACCCACAGCUGAUCGUGAGCCUCACACCCACCCACCUCCAGCAGUGCCAGAUUCACUCCUUACUUCCCCACUCUCUUCAUAUGGAGAGUGACAGCUUCCCUAGGUGGGUUAGAGCCGCUUUGGGCCCAUCUUUCUGAUCUUGUCUCUCUUGUUCCAUUCUCCAGUUUUUUGUUCUAAAAUAUCUGGCAAACACGUCAUUUUGAAUUAGUUUGGGGAGGUCAGGGUGCAGUUGGGGCAGGAACAUUUCCACAUUAACAAUUCUUGCUCUCACCAUGAUACUGAUUUUUUUUCUGGAGACAGAGUCUCGCUCUGUUGCCCAGGCUGGAGUGCAGUGGGGCGAUCUUGGCUCACUACAACGUCUGCCUCCUGGUUUCACACAGUUCUCAUGCCUCAGCCUCCCGAGUAGCUGGGACUACAGGUGCAUGCCACCAUACCCAACUCAUUUUUCAUAUUUUAGUGAAAACAAGGUUUCACCAUGUUGGCCAGGCUGGUCUUGAACUCCCAAGCUCUGGCAGUCUGACUGCCUCGGCCUCCCAAGGUGCUAGGAUUACAGCUGUAAGCCACUGCACCCGGCCAGAUACUGAUUUUUUUUAACCCUACUAUUUACUGGGCACAUACUACACAUCAGGCGGUGACCUCAGUAUUUUCCAUUGAAAAGAUCGUUUAAUCCUCAAAAUGAUUUCAUAAAACUGAUUAAAAUCCCUAAUUUAUAAGUAAUAACUGAGAGAGAUCAAGUACUCCAAGAAAGAAGGAAAAAGGGAGAGAGAGAAGAUCCUUGUGAUGAUGAAAUCCCUUAGACUUUGCCAUCUCAUCUUUCUCCUGCCUCCACACAAGGUCGUAGAAGAAAACAACAUGGACCACUUGCCAGCGUCUCUUUGAACAGAGAAGCUACUGCUGUCUAAGAGCCACCAUCCCCAAUCCCAGGCACAGGGCUUGAGGGAAACUUAUUUUCUGCCCCCACCUUCCUUAAAGGUGGAACUCAUGACUGAGACCUGAGCCUAUCAGCCGGUCACGUGAUCCUGGCCCAGGGCUAUUGGCUGUGGGAAGUGGAUGCUGCCCGCCCUGUUGUCCUGUGGGAGCUUGAGGGGAUGUACAUCUGGCAUUGCUGGCAGGCAUUUUGUUCCCAUGAGGGAAGAGUCUGGGAGAGAAGCAACCUGGUGGAGAGUGGGCCUAAGACACGGAGAGAGGAUGUUGAUGCCGUGAGUUCCCAAUCCCGCCGCGCCCGUCAGACUUACCCUCAGCUUUCCAGUCUCAGGAGCCAACACUCUUUCCUUCAGCCAGAUCAAGGUCCUUGUCACUUACAGCCAACACCACAACUGAUACAAAAGGGAAGGACACAAAACAAUUGUGGAGAAAGCCGUCUGGAUGGAGCCAGCAGCUUCGCUACCAUCGAGUGGCAUUUCCAGAGAGCAGAUGCACGCGGAGGGGUGUAGUUUGAAGGAAGACCUGGCGGGAUUUGCUAAUGAAUUGGAUAGCAGCGUAGUGAAAGAGACCCUCAGGAAUGACUUCCGGUUUUUAGGCUAAGGAAUUGCAAGAAUGGAACCAUGAACGGAGAUGUUGGUUUAGACCAGUCGCCCUCUGGACCAAGCUGCUGUGAGCAUGGAUUUAACAAAAUGUCAGCCCCACUGGGUAUGAUUUUCAAGUAUGAAUUCAAAACCUAUGGUGAGUUUCUACCAGUUUAAUCAAAAGUCCUUUUAUUUUGUUCUGGGUAAACACAGCUACGUCUGGGGUUUGCAUGCAAAGCAGUGGCUUUGACUUUCUUUUCGUUUUUUUGUAAAGCAGUAUUCAUCCAGUUAUGAGAAAACCACUUUUGCUUAUUGACCUUCUAAAAUGUCGGCAUUGUAAAUCAAAUCACUUGCAAAAAAUCCUCCAAAACAUAAUUUUUCAAAGCUUUCAUCCCUAAAGAAGUCAAUGUAUAAGGAAUAAGUGGUGAACGAGCCAGGGUCCUCUUCUCCUCUCUAGAGGAGGUAAAACGUCCUGGGCUGGGAGAGAGAGGAAGAGAAGCCAGAGGUUGGAUGGUGGGCAGCUUUUGAGAAGGGGUUUCAUGUUCUGCCCUUCCUGGGUCAGUUUCAUGGAAGGUCCCCAAUGCACGAACAAAUCAGAGAGGCCUGGAGCGGUAGGAGCUCAAGGGCAGAGCCAUGAGCUGCGUUCCGGCGACAGAGGAGACAUGGCUGGUUCGCGUCGUGUCUGCAUCUGAGCAGAGAGCUUGCCUCUGCUUUGUGAGUUUCUCCAGCCCUGAGUGGGGAGUGGAGCAGCCUCUUCCCCUACCCCACCCCUGUGUCCAGGGAUGCUCAGAAGUCCCCGAAGUAAAGGCAGACUUGGAGACACCUGGAGCCUGGGAAUGCGGGAGGGGAUGGACUGGAUGAUGUCUUUGUGAAUCUCUCAAGGAUGGGCAGGAUGUGGUCCAUCUCAGUGGAUAGUGGCCUGCAGCGCAGGUGACUGGCAGACAGGUGUGUCCCCAGUCUCCACUGCUGCAGCCGGCAAGGCCCUCUGGAAACCUUGCUGCAACCUCUGAUGGGAACAGCCCCGGUGGAUGGGAAGCUGCUGUCUGGAUGAAGAGUGAUUCAAGGAAGCUAUGGAUGGAGUUAGGGAAAUACAGCAUUGCAUUUCAUUCUGGGUCUGAUGCGUGUGCCUGACUCAGGGUGGGGCUUCUCUGGGACUGUUAAGAAGUGUGUAUGAGUUCUCUAUGAGAAUUUAAAUGUGCAUAUAUUUGGGUCCCUCCAAAAUUCCUAGGUUGAAGUCCUCACCCCUACUGUGAUGGAAUCAGGAAGAGAAGCCUUUGGGAGGUGAUUAGGUCAUGGAGGGUGGGGCUCUCAUAGAUGGGAUGAGUGCCGUUAUAUAAAGCCAGAGCAAAGAGAGCUCCCUUGUUCCUGCGUCUGUGGGAGGACGGCGCCACCCAAGAACCAGGAGGGACACACUCAGCAGACACCCAAUCUGCUGGUGCCUUAAUCCUGGACUUCCCAACCUCCGGAAUGAUGAGCAAUAAAGUUCUGUUGUUUGUAAGCCAUCCAGUCUGUGGUGUUCGGUUAUAGCAUCCUGAACAGACUAAGACAAUGUUUUGUAAGAGCCCAUUUGGGUUUCCUGGGUGGCCCACAGGAGCUAUGCAGGGGUUCUGGGGUCUGUGCCUUUGGGACUAGAUGACGCAGCUGUCAGAGCCUGUGGCUUGGCUUGGUCAGCGCCUGCCCUUCCCUCCAGUCUCCUCCAUCUUGGCUCCCACCCCUCCUGCCCCCACUGCUCCCCCAGCUCCAGAUUCUUCACCUUAUGAUGUUCCAUAAAGGAAUGCAGCUCUCCCCAGCUCAAGUCCCACAGCCUCUCACCUGAACUCCUGAAGGUGCUCAGCAGAACCCAGAGCCCUCCAUCUGGCAGGAUGAGUCCUCACUCUAGGAACCAUGGGAACCACAGACUCCACCUGAGGCAGCAGCUGCUGCGCACAGAGCAG
rnacentral:lncRNA from 1 species